rnacentral:rRNA from 1 species
AGAGUUUGAUUCCGGCUCAGAACGAACGCUGGCAGCGUGGAUUAGGCAUGCAAGUCGAACGAGAACCAGUGGUUUCAAGUUUUCGGACGAGAAACCGUUGGGGACAGUGGCGGAAGGGUGAGUAACGCGUGGGCAAUCUGCCCUUAAGUUCGGGACAACGGUUGGAAACGGCCGCUAAUACCGGAUGUGGUUAUCCGUCGCCUGACGGGUGGACUAAAGAUGGGGACCUUUCGGGGCCUGUCGCUUGAGGAGGAGCCCGCGUCCCAUCAGCUUGUUGGUAGGGUAACGGCCUACCAAGGCUUACGGGUAGCUGGUCUGAGAGGAUGAUCAGCCACACUGGGACUGAGACGCUGCCCAGACUCCUACGGGAGGCUGCAGUCGAGGAUCAUUGGCAAUGCGCGAAAGCGUGACCAUGCGACGCUGCGUGGAGGAUGACGGCCUUCGGGUUGUAAACUCCUGUCAUUCGGGAAAAACGAGCAGGCCGUUAAUAUCGGUUCGCAGUGAUGGUACCGAAAGAGGAAGCCACGGCUAACUCUGUGCCAGCAGCCGCGGUAAUACAGAGGUGGCAAGCGUUGUUCGGAUUUACUGGGCGUAAAGCGUGCGUAGGCGGUUACGUAUGUCGGAUGUGAAAGCCCAUGGCCCAACCAUGGAAGUGCAUUCGAAACUGCGGAACUAGAGUGCAGGAGGGGAGAGCGGAAUUCAUGGUGUACCGGUGAAAUGCGUUGAUAUCAUGAAGAACACCGGUGGCGAAGGCGGCUCUCUGGAAUGUUACUGACGCUGAGGCACGAAAGCUGGGGGAGCAAACAGGAUUAGAUACCCUGGUAGUCCCAGCCGUAAACGGUGCGCACUUGGUGUUGGGGGUGUUGACCCCCUCAGUGCCGGAGCUAACGCGCUAAGUGCGCCGCCUGGGAAGUACGGCCGCAAGGCUAAAACUCAAAGAAAUUGACGGGGGCCCGCACAAGCGGAGGAGCAUGUGGCUUAAUUCGAUGCAACGCGAAGAACCUCACCAGGGCUUGACAUGGCGACCCUUCGGGGGUGGUAGCGAAAGUUACCUUUACGAUCACAGGUGCUGCAUGGCUGUCGUCAGUUCGUGCCGUGAGGUGUUGGGUUAAGUCCCGCAACGAACGCAACCCUUGUGGUUAGUUGCCACCGUCGGUGAUGAGCCGGCGAGCACUCUAGCCAGACUGCCCGUGCAAGCGGGAGGAAGGUGGGGAUGACGUCAAGUCAGUAUGGCCCUUACGCCCUGGGCUGCACACGUGCUACAAUGGUCGGUACAGAAGGAUGCAAUACCGCGAGGUGGAGCAAAUCCUCAAAGCCGACCCCAGUUCGGAUUGGAGUCUGCAACUCGACUCCAUGAAGUUGGAUUCGCUAGUAAUGGCGCAUCAGCUACGGCGCCGUGAAUGCGUUCCCGGGCCUUGUACACACCGCCCGUCACAUCAUGAAAGCCGUCUGCACCCGAAGUCACUGAGCUAACCUUUUAUUAGGAGGCAGGUGCCGAAGGUGUGGGUGGUGAUUGGGAUGAAGUCGUAACAAGGUA